rnacentral:lncRNA from 1 species
UGAAAAUUGUGUUGGUAAUGAAAAAUGUUAACUGCUGCUCAUAUAAAUGAAAAAAAAAAAAGACACUUUGUAUUUUGCAAUGUGUCAUAUAGGAGAAAAUGUUCUUACAUUAAGCAUUCGCUGAUAAGUAGGCAUGUACUGCCUUUCUUCUGAUAACAGGUUUUCCUCAAAUGCUGAUUCAGGUUUGCUAAGUCUUUAGCGCAGCGCUGCAGGCAAUGAAAUUACUUUGUCUUAUAACAAAUUAUUCAGAAACUUUGUAUUAGAUGGAGGACAGCCAAGUCUCUACUCUGGGCUACAAAUAAUCCAGACAGAAGCAGUAGUCGUAUGAGCCUUUCAUAUAUUACAGCUGCCAGGAAAUCAAAUACCUUUUCUUAGCAUUAAUGUCUGACUACAAGAAACUUCUCUGUGCGACACCAGAGGUGCAUUUUGGUGCUGGGAACACCCAGGCCUACGUGGGACACAGGAGAGUCUUCCUGCAGCCCCUGGUGAAGGCGCUGUCUUGCUCUCCUCCUGGUUCGGGUGCAGCAGGCAUUUCUGGUCAAGCGUUUGAGCGCUACAGAUCUUUGUUCAGCUCCAAUAAUUGGCUUAAACAGUGUUUAAGCUCUUGGAUUUGGUUUCCUUGGGGAAAAACUGAAUUCCUGUUAGAUGAAAUGUUAGUGGCAAAAGUGUUCCAAAGAUUAUGA